GGGGGCGGCUGUCCCGGGCUGCCCUGGCGCUGCCGCCGCGGGGCCCCCGCUACGGAGCGGCCCGCCGCUGGGCCGGGGUGUCCCGAGCGGGCCUGGGGCCUCCCCCGGCCUUGUCUGGGGGCCAGGGCUGGUGAGAUGGGGCGCGGCAGGGCGGCGGUGCCGGUCCUGCCUCCUCCCCAGGCCCCAGAGCCCGACCUGAGCUGGCGAGGAGAGCGGUGCAAGCAGCGCCGCUUAACUGCCCUUCGUUCAUCUGUUGCAAGCUACCGGGGGAUUUGUGUAAGACGUGCAUUCUGAGGAAAGCACCAUGUUGUGAAAAUCCACUCUGAGAUUUGGAAAGGAAUCAUUUCCUUCAGCUCCUUUGCACCCCAUCCUUGCGUCGCUUCCUCUCUUCAUCCUUAAGAUAUUUGUCUAAUAACUCCUCUAGUUAAACAGACAGAUCUCGCAUUCACAUCCAUGUUGUCUUGCUACAGUUUUUAGACAAGCCUUUUUCGUUAGUCGUUAGGAAGCACUCAGUACAAAACCAAGUGACUGUUCCAUUAAUGAAGGUAUACAAAAGAAAGAGUUAAUAAGCACACCCACUUUUCAUAGCUUCAUCUCCACCAAGCUCAGUGAUACCAUCCUCCAUAUACCCUGUGACUCCCUGCUUCAGGUGCUCAUCUGCCACUGGUACCUGCUUCACUUUGGUUGCCAGCAGUCUAUGCAGGCAGGUCAUGAGAUCAUAUUAUAGUCUUUAUUCUGAGUAAGCCCAUUAAUUUGGGUCUGUCUAGUCUGCGGUCUCUUACAACUGUAAAUGUUUUAGACCUCUUUCAUUUGCAAUGUUAGGAUUAAGCUUUCAAAUGUUUGUAAUUUAUGUAACAGAGACAACAGCUUUUAUUGUGUAGCUUCAAUUUGUAAAGCACUAGAAUAAAAAGUACAGUAUCUAAAGCAA